GUUUAAUUAAUACAUUAAUAGUUUGUAUUCUUUCUGAACAGUUAAUCUUCAAAUUGUAUAGUUUGUUCUUCAUACACGAACAUUUAUAUGAAUUGUUCAGCUUAGUCCGUUAUAUAGAGCUAUCGUGAGGAGCUGAGGAAUAUGUACGAAUAAAAGGGUGGGGGUAAAUUCCAUUGUGAGUUUACAUCCAGUAAGUAUGAACCUGCAGGGUUAAAUUAAAUUAAUUAUUCGUGCAUGUUGGACAUGAAAUUAUCAUCCCAGUGUUUAUGCAAAUUCGUGUGAUGAAUCUCACGCUUGACUGGAUGUUGGCUGGGUGUAGAGUAGGACUUUAAAUUACUUUCAUUGGGGGGGGGGGCAGAGAGAACAAAUCACACAGUUCUGUUUUUGAUCGGACCUGAGUGCAAUUUUAAACUUGACUAUAUUGGCGAUAGUGUUUGGUUUGGUUUGUGAAACACCAUGUAUUUAAUUUGCUAUUGCAAAUCUUUCGAUCUCAUGUUUGGUUUUCGUGAUAGUGCUAAUAAUAUAUGCUGAUU